rnacentral:rRNA from 1 species
CAUCUUAGUGGCGGACGGGUGAGUAACGCGUGGGUAACCUGCCUUACACUGGGGGAUAACACUUAGAAAUAGGUGCUAAUACCGCAUAACAGAGGGAGUCGCAUGACUUCGUCUUAAAAACUCCGGUGGUGUAAGAUGGACCCGCGUCUGAUUAGCUGGUUGGCGGGGUAGCGGCCCACCAAGGCGACGAUCAGUAGCCGGCCUGAGAGGGUGAACGGCCACAUUGGGACUGAGACACGGCCCAAACUCCUACGGGAGGCAGCAG